ACGAGGUCAGGGUAACCGAGAGACAGCGAAAACAAGAACUAGCCAGAGUCAGGUACAUGGUAAUAAUCAGAAGGGCAAACAAGACAGGCAAGGGUUAAAGAGACACUCAGAGUCAGGAAACAAAGUCAAGGUCAAUACCAGAAUACAAUACAAUACAUUAGGAAUGUACUAAAGGGUACUGGGAACAGAAACUACAAUAGGGCACAUAAUCUGGAGCCAGGCACGUUUGAAUACCUUUAUUUUUAAUUUGAUUGGUUCACGUUAUGCCUACACCCCAAAAUGUGCAUGAAUGGGGGCGCCGGAAUGUCGUGGCCAAUGGGAGCCGACCGAAAGAUUAGGCUCCAAUUUCCCCUUUUAGAAUGUGCUCGCGAUGCGAGCAGUGUUCCCAAU